GACGAACGCUGGCGGCGUGCUUAACACAUGCAAGUCGAACGGAAAGGCCCUGCUUUUGUGGGGUGCUCGAGUGGCGAACGGGUGAGUAACACGUGAGUAACCUGCCCUUGACUUUGGGAUAACUUCAGGAAACUGGGGCUAAUACCGGAUAGGAGCUCCUGCUGCAUGGUGGGGGUUGGAAAGUUUCGGCGGUUGGGGAUGGACUCGCGGCUUAUCAGCCUGUUGGUGGGGUAGUGGCUUACCAAGGCUUUGACGGGUAGCCGGCCUGAGAGGGUGACCGGCCACAUUGGGACUGAGAGACGGCCCAGACUCCUACGGGAGGCAGCAGUGGGAAAUAUUGCACAAUGGGCGGAAGCCUGAUGCAGCAACGCCGCGUGCGGGAUGACGGCCUUCGGGUUGUAAACCGCUUUCGCCUGUGACGAAGCGUGAGUGACGGUAAUGGGUAAAGAAGCACCGGCUAACUACGUG
rnacentral:rRNA from 1 species